rnacentral:hammerhead_ribozyme from 1 species
AGCCGAAACGGGGCAGCAGUAGCCCCGUCAUGCAGGGACGGCAACCUUGUAUCUGACGAUGGCAAGCCGAAA